CCUACGGGAGGCAGCAGUGAGGAAUAUUGGUCAAUGGACGAGAGUCUGAACCAGCCAAGUAGCGUGAAGGAUGACUGCCCUAUGGGUUGUAAACUUCUUUUAUAAAGGAAUAAAACGAGGCACGUGUGCCUUUUUGCAUGUACUUUAUGAAUAAGGAUCGGCUAACUCCGUGCCAGCAGCCGCGGUAAUACGGAGGAUCCGAGUGUUAUCCGGAUUUAGUGGGUUUAGAGGGAGCGUAGAUGGGUUGUUAAGUCAGUUGUGAAAGUUUGCGGCUCAACCGUAAAAUUGCAAUUGAUACUGGCAGUCUUGAGUACAGUUGAGGUAGGCGGAAUUCGUGGUGUAGCGGUGAAAUGCUUAGAUAUCACGAAGAACCCCGAUUGCGAAGGCAGCUUACUAAACUAUGACUGACAUUGAUGCUCGAAAGUGUGGGUAUCAAACAGGAUUAGAUACCCUGGUAGUC
rnacentral:rRNA from 1 species